CAAGUGGGGUUGAACUUUGCAGAUGUAGCAGAGGCUGACAGUUUCUUUGCUGUAGUGGAGGAGAAGAUCAGCCAGAGAAAUAAUCGUUUUGAUAAACAGCAGAGAAAAGGACACAAAUAUAGAGAUCAUGGAGCUUUGCCACCACUUCCUCCACCAAAUGG